rnacentral:lncRNA from 1 species
UUUUCCUCACUCUUCUUCCUUCAUUUUCCUUCUUUCCUAACCCACUGCCCCCUUUUCCGGCCACCCACCAUAGUGCUUCUGACCACCAUUUAUCAAACAAAAUACAUAAUAUUUAUCAUCUCUUCCUUCUAUAUAUCAUUAUUAAAUUUACUUUUUUAUUGAAGAUAUUUUCUGAGUUUUCAAACGCUAUCUUUAUUGUCAGAUUCCGUCCACCACAAAUUGUUCUUCGACAAAUUACCACCAUAAAAAUACUCUUUUUCGUAUUCCCUACAAAAUCCAUCAAGAAAAAUCAUGUUUCAAUGAGCUUUUUCUGGCGACCACCGCACCUGAAAACAUCAGCAUCAUGCCGGAAAUUUUUGUUUAACGUUAGCAGCAGCCAUAACGCGUGUUUGAGCAUAAAUCAGAAACUAUGCUUCUGUUUUCUUAAUCUGUCAAACGGAUCUAUUAAACACGUUUCAGAUAUGUGGCUCCUUAUGUUGUGUUGUUUCUGUGUAUUUUCUAUAAAAAAAAAAUUGUAUUUUUGUGUUGUGUUAGAGAGAAGAAGAGUGAAGGAAUUAUGGUUGUUAUGUGUGAUGAUGAUCGAGAAGAUGAAGAGGAAAUUUGAGUUUUUUUAUAUUAUGGAAUAUAAAAUAGUUGAGAUGUGAGUAGGAUGUAGAAGAAGGAAAAGUGAGUUUUGAUGUGAUUUUGGG